rnacentral:tRNA from 1 species
GCCGAAGUGGCGGAACUGGCAGACGCGCACGUUUGAGGGGCGUGUGGGGCAACCCGUGGGGGUUCGAAUCCCCCCUUCGGCACCA